rnacentral:rRNA from 1 species
AUGGAGUCUAUGAAAGAAGAAAUUGAUGAAACUGUGAGCUCAUUGGAUGAAAAAGAUGAUGAGGAGAGCGAAGAACAAAAGGAGGAAGAGCGGAUUAGCUACCCGUGCCCACCUUCUAAUGAGAGUAACUCUUCAACUCAUACAUUGUUUAAUUUCCCUUCGUGCUUACCGAAUGAUGAUUGCUAUGAUGAUUGUUAUGAUCCCGUUGAUUCUCUUGAAAUAUCCCUUUUUGAUGAUGCUUGCUAUGCUUGUGGCCAAGAUGCCAAUAUGAAUUAUGCUUAUGGAGAUGAACUUGCUAUAGUUCCUUAUGUUAAACAUGAAAUUGUUGCUAUUGCACCCACACAUGAUAGUCCUAUUAUCUUUUUGAAUUUUCCCGACUACACUAUAUCGGAGAAGUUUGCACUUAUUAAGGAUUAUAUUGGCGGGUUGCCUUUUACCGUUACACAUGAUGAUUUUGAUAGAUAUAAUAUGCAUGUGCUUGCUGCUCCUACUUGCAAUUAUUAUGAGAGAGGAACUAUAUCUCCACCUCUCUAUGUUUCCAACACGAUAAAAUUGCAAGAAAUUGUUUGUACUAUGCAUUGGCCUUUACUAUGUGUGCAUGAAUUGUUCUUAUAUGACAUGCCGAUGCAUAUGAAGAGAUUUAGACUUCGUCAUUACAUGAUAUAUGUUACUUUGUGCUCACUACUAAAUUACAAAUCAUUGCUAAUUAAAAUUGGCUUUGAUAUACCUUGGGAUCCGGGUGGAUUCACUACUUGA